rnacentral:misc_RNA from 1 species
GAUGAAGAACGCAGCAAAAUGCGAUAAGUAAUGUGAAUUGCAGAAUUCAGUGAAUCAUCGAAUCUUUGAACGCACCUUGCGCUCUUUGGUAUUCCGAAGAGCAUGCCUGUUUGAGUGUCAUGAAAAUAUCAACCUUGACUUGGGUUUUGUGCUCUAGUCUCGGCUUGGAAUUGGGUGCUUGCCGCUUUUACGAGCGGCUCACCUUAAAUGUAUUAGCUGGAUCUGUCUUUGAGACUUGGUUUGACUUGGCGUAAUAAGUAUUUCGCUAAGGACAUUCUUCGGAGUGGCCUCGUUUCUAGGACGCUUGUCCGCUUUCCAAUACAAGUUCCACCUCGUGGACAUGACUUUUUAUUAUCUGGCCUCAAAUCAGGUAGGACUACCCGCUGAACUUAAGCAUAUCAAUAAGCGGAGGA